UACAGAGGGUGCAAGCGUUAAUCGGAGUUACUGGGCGUAAAGCGUGCGCAGGCGGUUGUGCAAGACAGAUGUGAAAUCCCCGGGCUUAACCUGGGAACUGCAUUUGUGACUGCACGGCUAGAGUACGGCAGAGGGGGAUGGAAUUCCGCGUGUAGCAGUGAAAUGCGUAGAUAUGCGGAGGAACACCAAUGGCGAAGGCAGUCCCCUGGGCCUGUACUGACGCUCAUGCACGAAAGCGUGGGGAGCAAACAGG
rnacentral:rRNA from 1 species